CUAGCUACAGGCUUAACACAUGCAAGUCGAGGGGCAGCAUGGUCUUAGCUUGCUAAGGCCGAUGGCGACCGGCGCACGGGUGAGUAACACGUAUCCAACCUGCCGUCUACUCUUGGACAGCCUUCUGAAAGGAAGAUUAAUACAAGAUGGCAUCAUGAGUCCGCAUGUUCACAUGAUUAAAGGUAUUCCGGUAGACGAUGGGGAUGCGUUCCAUUAGAUAGUAGGCGGGGUAACGGCCCACCCAGUCUUCGAUGGAUAGGGGUUCUGAGAGGAAGGUCCCCCACAUUGGAACUGAGACACGGUCCAAACUCCUACGGGAGGCAGCAGUGAGGAAUAUUGGUCAAUGGGCGAGAGCCUGAACCAGCCAAGUAGCGUGAAGGAUGACUGCCCUAUGGGUUGUAAACUUCUUUUAUAAAGGAAUAAAGUCGGGUAUGGAUACCCGUUUGCAUGUACUUUAUGAAUAAGGAUCGGCUAACUCCGUGCGAGCAGCCGCGGUAAUACGGAGGAUCCGAGCGUUAUCCGGAUUUAUUGGGUUUAAAGGGAGCGUAGAUGGAUGUUUAAGUCAGUUGUGAAAGUUUGCGGCUCAACCGUAAAAUUGCAGUUGAUACUGGAUAUCUUGAGUGCAGUUGAGGCAGGCGGAAUUCGUGGUGUAGCGGUGAAAUGCUUAGAUAUCACGAAGAACUCCGAUUGCGAAGGCAGCCUGCUAAGCUGCAACUGACAUUGAGGCUCGAAAGUGUGGGUAUCAAACAGGAUUAGAUACCCUGGUAGUCCACACGGUAAACGAUGAAUACUCGCUGUUUGCGAUAUACUGCAAGCGGCCAAGCGAAAGCGUUAAGUAUUCCACCUGGGGAGUACGCCGGCAACGGUGAAACUCAAAGGAAUUGACGGGGGCCCGCACAAGCGGAGGGACAUGUGGUUUAAUUCGAUGAUACGCGAGGAACCUUACCCGGGCUUAAAUUGCAGAUGAAUUACGGUGAAAGCCGUAAGCCGCAAGGCAUCUGUGAAGGUGCUGCAUGGUUGUCGUCAGCUCGUGCCGUGAGGUGUCGGCUUAAGUGCCAUAACGAGCGCAACCCUUGUUGUCAGUUACUAACAGGUUCCGCUGAGGACUCUGACAAGACUGCCAUCGUAAGAUGUGAGGAAGGUGGGGAUGACGUCAAAUCAGCACGGCCCUUACGUCCGGGGCUACACACGUGUUACAAUGGGGGGUACAGAGGGCCGCUACCACGCGAGUGGAUGCCAAUCCCCAAAACCUCUCUCAGUUCGGACUGGAGUCUGCAACCCGACUCCACGAAGCUGGAUUCGCUAGUAAUCGCGCAUCAGCCACGGCGCGGUGAAUACGUUCCCGGGCCUUGUACACACCGCCCGUCAAGCCAUGGGAGCCGGGGGUACCUGAAGUGCGUAACCGCGAGGAGCGCCCUAGGGUAAAGCUGGUGACUGG
rnacentral:rRNA from 1 species